UCCGCCAUGGACGGCGGCGGUUCAAGCUUGCAAGUUUUGCUUAUGCAAAACUUGCUAUCAACAUCCGUACAAGGAAGUACGGAUGUUGAUGACA
rfam:Treponema pedis str. T A4, complete genome.